GUUGUAUAGUCAAGUAAUUAAGUGCAUGUGGUGGAUGCCUUGGCAGUCAGAGGCGAUGAAAGACGUGAUAGCCUGCGAAAAGCUCCGGGGAGGCGGCAAAUAUCCUUUGAUCCGGAGAUGUCUGAAUGGGGGAACCCACCUACUUUAAGGUAGGUAUUGCAACAUGAAUACAUAGUGUUGCAAGGCGAACGAGGGGAAGUGAAACAUCUCAGUACCCUUAGGAAAAGAAAUCAAUUGAGAUUCCCUCAGUAGCGGCGAGCGAACGGGGAUCAGCCCAUUAAGUUAUGUGUGUUUUAGUGGAACGCUCUGGGAAGUGCGAACGUAGAGGGUGAUAUUCCCGUACACGAAAGGGCACACAUAAUGAUGACGAGUAGGGCGAGGCACGUGAAACCUUGUCUGAAUAUGGGGGGACCAUCCUCCAAGGCUAAAUACUCCUGACUGACCGAUAGUGAACCAGUACCGUGAGGGAAAGGCGAAAAGAACCCCUGUGAGGGGAGUGAAAUAGAUCCUGAAACCGCAUGCAUACAAGCAGUGGGAGCACCUUCGUGGUGUGACUGCGUACCUUUUGUAUAAUGGGUCAGCGACUUAUAUUCAGUAGCGAGGUUAACCGUAUAGGGGAGCCGUAGAGAAAUCGAGUCUUAAUAGGGCGUUUAGUUGCUGGGUAUAGACCCGAAACCAGGCGAUCUAUCCAUGAGCAGGUUGAAGGUUGGGUAACACUAACUGGAGGACCGAACCCACUGUCGUUGAAAAGCCAGGGGAUGACUUGUGGAUAGGGGUGAAAGGCUAAUCAAGCCUGGUGAUAGCUGGUUCUCCCCGAAAGCUAUUUAGGUAGCGCCUCGGACGAAUACCAUAGGGGGUAGAGCACUGUUUCGGCUAGGGGGUCAUCCCGACUUACCAAACCGAUGCAAACUCCGAAUACCUAUGAGUACUAUCCGGGAGACAGACUGCGGGUGCUAACGUCCGUAGUCAAGAGGAAAACAAUCCAGACCGCCAGCUAAGGCCCCAAAAUCAUAGUUAAGUGGGAAACGAUGUGGGAAGGCAUAGACAGCUAGGAGGUUGGCUUAGAAGCAGCCACCCUUUAAAGAAAGCGUAAUAGCUCACUAGUCGAGUCGGCCUGCGCGGAAGAUGUAACGGGGCUAAAACUAUGUGCCGAAGCUGCGGAUGUAUACUUUGUAUACGUGGUAGGGGAGCGUUCUGUAAGCCGAUGAAGGUGUGUUGAGAAGCAUGCUGGAGGUAUCAGAAGUGCGAAUGCUGACGUGAGUAACGACAAAACGGGUGAAAAACCCGUUCGCCGAAAGACCAAGGGUUCCAGUCCAACGUUAAUCGGGGCUGGGUGAGUCGACCCCUAAGGCGAGGCCGAAAGGCGUAGUCGAUGGGAAAAUGGUUAAUAUUCCAUUACUUCUGUGUAAUGCGAUGAGAGGACGGAGAAGGCUAAAUCAGCCUGGCGUUGGUUGUCCAGGUGAAAGGAUGUAGGCAUGUAUCUUAGGCAAAUCCGGGGUACUCUAUGCUGAGAUCUGAUAGCAAGCUGUACUUGUACAGCGAAGUGGUUGAUGCCAUGCUUCCAGGAAAAGUCUCUAAGCUUCAGUUACACAGGAAUCGUACCCGAAACCGACACAGGUGGUCAGGUCGAGUAGACCAAGGCGCUUGAGAGAACUCUGCUGAAGGAACUAGGCAAAAUGGUACCGUAACUUCGGGAGAAGGUACGCUGUUGUUGGUGAUGGAACUCGCUUCCUGAGCUGACGACAGCCGCAGAAACCAGGCCGCUGCAACUGUUUAUUAAAAACAUAGCACUCUGCAAACACGAAAGUGGACGUAUAGGGUGUGAUGCCUGCCCGGUGCUGGAAGGUUAAUUGAUGGGGUUAGCGUAAGCGAAGCUCUUGAUCGAAGCCCCAGUAAACGGCGGCCGUAACUAUAACGGUCCUAAGGUAGCGAAAUUCCUUGUCGGGUAAGUUCCGACCUGCACGAAUGGCAUAAUGAUGGCCAGGCUG
rnacentral:rRNA from 1 species